CUUUUUCGCUCACACUCUUACCCUGGCAGAUCUCUCCAUGGUGUAGGCCAGGCCAGAGUGAACAAUGUCCUUCUCAGAAGCUCCUGGAGUGGAGAGGAAGGAAAUAUGUGUUGUCAAACUGCCAACAUAUUACAUAAUUUGUGUGUGUGUGUGUGUGUGUGCUUACAGCGACUCUGGUCUGGAAGUCAGCGGUGGGAACAGGGAUCGGUCCUCCCUGUUUUCCAAACUUCCUCUCCAAACUCUCCUGAACAGACACUGAGAGACCGCGAGGGAUAGAGAGGGAAAUAGUUAGAUGGCAAUGUAGCAAUGUAACCUGAUCAUUGGCAACCAUCGUAUUUUCAAGUAUAUCCAGUCGAUCAACAUUCAUCCCUGAAGUUUCAUCUGGGUUCACUCUCACAUUUCAGAUUAGUAUUGUUAUCUUUUAUUCAAAACCUGAACGUCAGAAAGUAGUAUCUGUCUAACUGGUACGUCACCUUAAAUGAACCUACGUUAUAUACGGGAGUGGCCAGCGGAAAUAUCACCAGUUACACUUCUUUUGCGGUCAUCUUUUCAGUUGUCCUUACAACUCUGAAAACACAGAGACCAUUUCCUACAGAAGACACAGUACUGUAUCUCCUGCUACACCGAGGUUGUUAAAGGAAGAGGAAAAGGCUUCAGAACUGAACGAACACAGAUCUUCUACAGACCGAGAGACGAGAUCAGAAAGCUGACACACAGCUCCAGAGGUGUAGUAAACAAACAGUCAAAGGAAAUCUAGUUGCUACAUCUAGAAAUGGCAGAGGUAAAACAACCGAACAUAUUGCCCCCCCUCAUCCCCUACCCUGAGGGGAUGACAGAUGAAAAGGAAAAGAAAAUAUAUAAAAAAAAGACUUUGCAUGAAAAUCCAGAGACUUUAUAUCGUGAUGAAAGAAAAAAUGCUCCAUGCGACCUCAUUUUCUACACAACAAACGGUUCUACAUGGGAAGAGGAAAUACUGAAACACUAUCCUGAGGGAAAACAGUGGAGAAAAAUUCAAGAUGGCAAACAACUGAAAACGAAGGCAGGCACUAUAAAUGUGUAUGAUACUGGGACAAUCAUGGUGCAGGAUAAUAGUGAGACGUUAAAGAUAUUCCCAAAUGAUUUCCCAGCCUUGAGAGAGAGAGUGAGAAAGAGCGUCGGGACGACAGAGGAUGUCUUGAAGAAAAUGGCAGAGCUAGGCCUUGAGGAAAGUGGAGAGCAGAGGAAAAGAGAGAGCGAGGACAUAAAAGAGGAAGACAUAAAACAGGAAGACAUAAAGGGGGAAAUUAAGGAAGAGGUGGAAGGAGGAAAAGGGAAGCACUGAACAUUCCAGGGCAGAUCAGAAGAGAAACAUUAUUUUACGGGAUGUAUAAUUUGACGAACAGUUAUAAUAAAGCCUGCUGUUCAUCUCACCUUAUUAUUUGAAUGUUGUAUCUUUUACCUUUUAAUGUUUGUUUUUUAUUGAGCUUGUAUGAAAAAAUGCAUUCAUAAGUGCUCACAAUCAUUAUCUUGCUUUGGUUAUAGUUUAUCACUUUCCCAAUGAUAAAGGUGCUUAAAGCAAAAAGGUGGUGGUCCCUGUGAAUUUCCCCAGCAAUAUGUGUUUCAUAUUGUUUCAAAAUGUGUGCUCUAAAAUGUAUCAAGAUUUUUGAAACACAAUUCUAAUAAAGUUUGAUUUAACAAGU